rnacentral:ribozyme from 1 species
CCGCGCAAAAAAAAAAAAAAAAAAAAAAAGAAAAAGAAAAAUGGUAAA